rnacentral:rRNA from 1 species
AUUGAACGCUGGCGGCAGGCCUAACACAUGCAAGUCGAACGAGUGGCGGACGGGUGAGUAAUGUCUGGGAAACUGCCUGAUGGAGGGGGAUAACUACUGGAAACGGUAGCUAAUACCGCAUACCAUCGGAUGUGCCCAGAUGGGAUUAGCUAGUAGGUGGGGUAACGGCUCACCUAGGCGACGAUCCCUAGCUGGUCUGAGAGGAUGACCAGCACCACUUGAACGGAGACACGGUCCAGAAUCCUCCGGGAGGCAGCGGUGGGGAAUAUUGCACAAUGGGCGCAAGCCUGAUGCACCCAUGCCGCGUGUAUGGAGACGGCCUUCGGGUUGUAAAGUACUUUCAGCGGUGAGGCGUUACCCGCAGAAGAAGCACCGGCUAACUCCGUGCCAGCAGCCGCGGUAAUAC